GACGAACGCUGGCGGCGUGCUUAACACAUGCAAGUCGAGCGGUAAGGCCCUUUCGGGGUACGACGAGCGGCGAACGGGUGAGUAACACGUGGGUGACCUGCCCUCCAGCUCUGGGAGUAAGCCUGGGAAACCGGGUACUAAUACUGGAUAUGACUCCAUGACGCAUGUUGUGGGGUGGAAAGCCUUGUGCGGCUGAGGAUGGGCCCGCGGCCUAUCAGCUUGUUGGUGGGGUGAGGCCUACCAAGGCGACGACGGGUAGCCGGCCUGAGAGGGCGACCGGCCACACUGGGACUGAGACACGGCCCAGACUCCUACGGGAGGCAGCAGUGGGGAAUCUUGCGCAAUGGGCGAAAGCCUG
rnacentral:rRNA from 1 species